CAGUAGCCGCGGGUAAUACGGAGGGAGCUAGCGUUGUUCGGAAUUACUGGGCGUAAAGCGCGCGUAGGCGGUUACUCAAGUCAGAGGUGAAAGCCCGGGGCUCAACCCCGGAACUGCCUUUGAAACUAGGUGACUAGAAUCUUGGAGAGGUCAGUGGAAUUCCGAGUGUAGAGGUGAAAUUCGUAGAUAUUCGGAAGAACACCAGUGGCGAAGGCGACUGACUGGACAAGUAUUGACGCUGAGGUGCGAAAGCGUGGGGAGCAAACAGGAUUAGAUACCCCUGUAGUCCCUGUCUCUUAUA
rnacentral:rRNA from 1 species